rnacentral:rRNA from 1 species
UACGAAGGGGGCUAGCGUUGCUCGGAAUCACUGGGCGUAAAGGGUGCGUAGGCGGGUUUUAAGUCAGAGGUGAAAUCCUGGAGCUCAACUCCAGAACUGCCUUUGAUACUGGGAAUCUUGAGUAUGGAAGAGGUGAGUGGAACUGCGAGUGUAGAGGUGAAAUUCGUAGAUAUUCGCAAGAACACCAGUGGCGAAGGCGGCUCACUGGUCCAUAACUGACGCUGAGGCACGAAAG